UACGAAGGGGGCUAGCGUUGCUCGGAAUUACUGGGCGUAAAGGGCGCGUAGGCGGUCAGCACAAGUCAGUUGUGAAAACCCGCAGCUCAACUGUGGGCUUGCAGCUGAUACGGGCAGGCUUGGAGUUCGGUAGGGGAGACUGGAAUUCCUGGUGUAGCGGUGGAAAUGACGCAGAUAUCAGGAGGAACACCGGUGGCGAAGGCGGGUCUCUGGGCCGAUACUGACGCUGGAGAAGCGAAAGCAUGGGGAGCGAACAGG
rnacentral:rRNA from 1 species